rnacentral:lncRNA from 13 species
AAGGCAACUGAGUCCUACUGGUGGGUCCUUGGCCCCAGGACGGGACCGGGACAGGGAUAAAGGGCACAGAGUGCCCAGGGAGCACUGCUCCUGGGAGCAGUGGGGUAUUUUCGGUUGCUUGAACUCUUGAGAGCUGGGCUCUGAGCGUCCUCUUGUCUGGGGCCAACUGGCCAAAGGCGAAGGGAGCAUUCUCCUGUUGCCAGGAAACGCAUCAUUCAAACCUGAGCGAGUGGGGCGCACGGGCGUGAGUCCCAGAUCCUCGCCGGAAGGGCGACCUUAAGGGAUUCCCGCUACAAGAUAAGGAACCUAAGCCUCCAAGAGUUGCAGUGACACGUUCAAGCCACAUGGUUAGUGAGAAGCAGAGAAAGGACCGAAGGCUGAAGAAGCAGCUCCUUCCUGAGACAUUGUGGGUCUCCCUGGAGAGAAGAGGAUGCAGGAAUCACAUAAUGGCCCUGAAAACUUCUGCACAGGAUUAGCACACGUCACUUCUGCUCAUAUUUCAUUGGCCACAGUGAGUCCAAUGGCGGACGUGAACACAAUGAAACAGGAAGAGUGUGAUCUUCUUGUAGGGAGGGCAUUUGCAGACAGAGCCCAGUUAGAAGAAACUGGGAAGAAAGGCAGCAAAUGCUUUGAUCAGUAAUGCAAUAUGCAUCACCACAUUACUGCAAAAUAAAUUAUAAGCUUCUUAGACA